AUACGGAGGGAGCAAGCGUUAUUCGGAAUCACUGGGCGUAAAGGACGCGUAGGCGGGUUUGUAAGUCAGGUGUGAAAUCCUACAGCUCAACUGUAGAACUGCACUUGAAACUACAGACCUAGAGUAUGGAAGGGGCAGAUGGAAUUAGUGGUGCAGGGGUAAAAUCCGUAGAUAUCACUAGGAAUACCGAAAGCGAAGGCGAUCUGCUGGGACAUUACUGACGCUGAGGCGUGAAAGCGUGGGGAGCAAACAGGAUUAGAUACCCCAGUAGUCC
rnacentral:rRNA from 1 species